GUGGCUAAAUUAUAUCCCGUUGUAUCAAAUCAGAUAUACGUAACAUAAUGAAAAUAGUUUUUAUUAUAGUAUUUGCUGUUAUAAUAUUAUUGAUUCCCGCCUUCAUUUACUUGAUAUCGUCAGUAGAUAAGCUGACGCCCUUACUAGGAUUGAUUGCGAAAGAUAACUCUGAUUUAAAAAUGUCUUAUAUCAUGAGGACGAGUAACAAAUCAUCAUUACGCCAGAACCAAGAUUAUUGGGAUGUACAAUUCUUCGUGCCGAAAUAAAAUAUUACCGACAA